rnacentral:tRNA from 1 species
GGGCCCUUAGCUCAGUUGGUAGAGCAGCUGACUUUUAAUCAGCUUGUCAUAGGUUCGAUCCCUAUAGGGCUCACCA